rnacentral:misc_RNA from 1 species
GCUAGAAAACUAAAGAAAAAAGGAGAGAGAGAUUUUGAAACUUACAUGCCAAAGUCUCUCAUAAAUGAAAUAUCUGUGUUGAUGGGUGCUAAGACCAAUAAUGUUUUUAAAACUGAUAAGAAUUUCAGCUGAAUUUUCUUUGAGAUUAGGAAGAAGUUUUGAAGUAGAUGUUUGUUUUGCUGAGAAAGGCAAGUGGUUUCAAUCAAAUGAUCAAGAUAAUCAACUUGGUUUUUUUCAAUCUAGGAGUGUAGUCAAGAUCUUGUUACCCUUUUGAGAUUGCUCCUUGAUAGUGUUUUUUGGUUUUGCUAGCGGCCUUAGACCAUUUUCUCUGUUUUUUGGCAGCUUUUGCAUCUCAGGGGAGUUGCGAUUGCUUUCUCUUAUUUGGCCAGCAUGUUAUUGAAUUUGUAAUCUGCUUGUUUUUCUUUUUUGUUGGCUUUGUGUUCUCUGUUUUCAGGGAAGUUAUUGCUCUUUAGGUGGUUGUAUUGGGGAUUGACAACUGGUCUUUGUGCUAUCCUCCUUCUCUGUAUCUUUUCAUUUUAUUAAAUUUCUUUUGCUUAUAUAUAUAUAAAAAAAAAAAGCUACCAACUUCUCGGGAGACUGCAACUAAAAUUUCUUUGGCCGAACUUUAAAUUAUCGUAUGAGAAUCAACUUCAUUUUAUUUCUG